CUGGGCUCGAAANGCAGAUGACCAUCGGCGAAAGUCGACUUCCGCAAGGACAACUGUAUAGGUGCUGCAUGGCUGUCGUCAGCUCGUGUCGUGAGAUGUUGGGUUAAGUCCCGCAACGAGCGCAACCCUUGUUUCCUGUUGCCAUCGGGUAAUGCCGGGCACUCUGGAGAGACUGCCGGUGACAAACCGGAGGAAGGUGGGGAUGACGUCAAGUCAGCAUGGCCUUUAUGUCCAGGGCUACACACGUGCUACAAUGGCCGGUACAAAGCGUCGCAAACUCGCGAGGGUGAGCUAAUCGCAGAAAGCCGGUCUCAGUUCGGAUUGUAGGCUGCAACUCGCCUGCAUGAAGUUGGAAUCGCUAGUAAUCGCGGAUCAGCAUGCCGCGGUGAAUACGUUCCC
rnacentral:rRNA from 1 species